rnacentral:tRNA from 1 species
UGCCUCUUAGCGCAAUUGGUAGAGCGUCUGGUUUUGGUCCAGAAGGUUCCAAGUUCGAAUCUUGGAGAGGUAA